rnacentral:rRNA from 1 species
GAUGAACGCUGGCGGCGUGCUUAACACAUGCAAGUCGCGGGGCGAGCAUGUUACUUGGCGUUGCCAGUAAAUGAUGGCGACCGGCGCACGGGUGAGUAUCGCGUAUCCAACCUUCCCAUAUCCACGGGAUAGCCUGCCGAAAGGCAGAUUAAUACCGUAUGUUGUCGCACGCUGGCAUCAAAAAUGCGACGGAAGGCUUAGCGGAUAUGGAUGGGGAUGCGUCCGAUUAGCUUGACGGCGGGGUAACGGCCC